GAUGAACGCUGGCGGCGUGCUUAACACAUGCAAGUCGAACGGAAAGGCUCCUGCUUGCAGGGGUACUCGAGUGGCGAACGGGUGAGUAACACGUUGGUGAUCUGCCCUGCACUUCGGGAUAAGCCUGGGAAACUGGGUCUAAUACCGGAUAGGACCACCUUUUGGAUGGUGUGGUGGAAAGUUUUUCGGUGUGGGAUGAGCUCGCGGCCUAUCAGCUUGUUGGUGGGGUAAUGGCCUACCAAGGCGUCGACGGGUAGCCGGCCUGAGAGGGUGUACGGCCACAUUGGGACUGAGAUACGGCCCAGACUCCUACGGGAGGCAGCAGUGGGGAAUAUUGCACAAUGGGGGCAAGCCUGAUGCAGCGACGCCGCGUGGGGGAUGACGGCCUUCGGGUUGUAAACUCCUUUCGCUAGGGACGAAGCGUUUUUGUGACGGUACCUGGAGAAGAAGCACCGGCUAACUACGUG
rnacentral:rRNA from 1 species